AAAAGCUUUCUUUAAUUGAAUAAUUGAAUUUAAUUUUUUAGUGCAAAAGCAAAAAUAAAAAUUAGGGACAAGAAGACCCUAUGAAUUUUUUAUUAAAUUUUAUAAAACUUUAUAUAAAAUUUAAUUUAAUUGGGGUGAUGGAAAAAGAAUAAAUAUCUUUUUUUAAAAAAAAAAAUUGGUUCCGUUUUUAGCGAUUAAAUGAAAAAAAUACUCUAGGGAUAACAGCGUAAUAAUUUUGGAUAGUUCAUAUAGAUAAAAUAGUUUGCGACCUCGAUGUUGGAUUAGGAUUCUUUUUUGGUGAAGAAGUUAAAAAAAGAAGUUUGUUCAACUUAUAAUUUCCUACUUGAUCUGAGUUCAGACCGG
rnacentral:rRNA from 1 species